UACGUAGGGCGCAAGCGUUGUCCGGAAUUAUCGGGCGUAAAGAGCUCGUAGGCGGUUUGUCGCGUCUGCUGUGAAAACCUAAGGCUCAACCCCGGACUUGCAGUGGGUACGGGCAGACUAGAGUGUGGUAGGGGAGACUGGAAUUCCUGGUGUAGCGGUGAAAUGCGCAGAUAUCAGGAGGAACACCGAUGGCGAAGGCAGGUCUCUGGGCCACUACUGACGCUGAGAAGCGAAAGCAUGGGGAGCGAACAGG
rnacentral:rRNA from 1 species